rnacentral:lncRNA from 1 species
CCCAGAUCCGUGCCCGUAACAGUCCCUGGAGCCCAGGCUCAGGGCUGCUGCAGGUACUGGAGCACCAUCUCUGAGAUCUGCUCGAAGCUGAACGUGCACUCUACACCUGAAGACAUGAAUCUGCGGCUGGAGCUGCAGAAUGAUAGCCUUCUGAUGGCUAACCUGGCUGCCUUCCGGAACAUCUCAAAGGAGAUCGUCAUUGCUUCUAAUGAGUCUUUAUUCAUCAGUAAAAAUCUGGAGGAUCUGGAGAAAUUCCUGCAAACCUUGCCCAUGCCCAUAUCCCAGAGAGAAGUGUACAUCGAAGCAGAAGAUUUUAAUGAGUUCUCGGGGAAGCUGAAAGUCUUUCUGGAAGCCCUGGAUGAGUUCCUGUUGGGCUUACUGAAGUGCCCAGAAACUUUCAAAGCCUCGUGUAGAAAAUCUUAGUCCAGGCCUUUGCAUGCCCAGGGCUCUGAGUUGGGUCUCCAGCCCUCCUCCUUGAUACUCCAGUGAAAGCUCCACUCUGUCACAGAUCACAUUGACAAUCCUAUUUAUGUAACAAUUUAUUUAUUGUCCUCCCUAUUAUGGAGUUAUUUAUUUUAAUAAUGGAGCCCUCUUAGGAGCCUCUGAGCAAAGCUCAGAGAGGAUGUGAAGCCAUUUUCAUUUGUACCUCAGAUUUCAAAUGGGUUCCUUCUCCUCCGUGAAAAAUAAAUAUUUUAUGAAGAG